rnacentral:rRNA from 1 species
GACGAACGCUGGCGGCGUGCUUAACACAUGCAAGUCGAACGGAAAGGCCCUGCUGUUGUGCGGCGCUCGAGUGGCGAGCGGGUGAGAAACACGUGAGUAACCUGCCCUUGACUGUGGGAUAACUUCAGGAAACUGGGGCUAAUACCCGAUAGGAGCUCCUGCUGCAUGGGGGGGGUUGGAAAGUUCCGGCGGUUGGGGAUGGACUCGCGGCUUAUCAGCUUGUUGGUUGGGUAGUGGCCUACCAAGGCUUUGACGGGUAGCCGGCCUGAGAGGGGGGCCGGCCACCAGAGGCCUACGAGAGGCACCAGACGCGAACGGUGGGCAAUGGGGGGAAGUAUUACACAGUGAGCGGGCGCGUGAUGCGACGACGCCCGGUGCGGAAAGAGGGCUUUCGGGUUAUAAACAGCUUUCUCCUGUGACAAGGCGUGCGUGACGGUACCGGGUGAAGAAGCACCGGCUAACUACGUG